GCCUUCGUGGUGUAAUGGUCAGCACACUGAGCUGGUAUUUCAGAGGUCCGCGGUUCGAUUCCCGGCGAAGGCA
rnacentral:tRNA from 1 species